GGGGAUAACACUUGGAAACAGGUGCUAAUACCGUAUAACACUAUUUUCCGCAUGGAAGAAAGUUGAAAGGCGCUUUUGCGUCACUGAUGGAUGGACCCGCGGUGCAUUAGCUAGUUGGUGAGGUAACGGCUCACCAAGGCCACGAUGCAUAGCCGACCUGAGAGGGUGAUCGGCCACACCGGGACUGAGACACGGCCCAGACUCCUACGGGAGGCAGCAGUAGGGAAUCUUCGGCAAUGGACGAAAGUCUGACCGAGCAACGCCGCGUGAGUGAAGAAGGUUUUCGGAUCGUAAAACUCUGUUGUUAGAGAAGAACAAGGAUGAGAGUAGAACGUUCAUCCCUUGACGGUAUCUAACCAGAAAGCCACGGCUAACUACGUGCCAGCAGCCGCGGUAAUACGUAGGUGGCAAGCGUUGUCCGGAUUUAUUGGGCGUAAAGCGAGCGCAGGCGGUUUCUUAAGUCUGAUGUGAAAGCCCCCGGCUCAACCGGGGAGGGUCAUUGGAAACUGGGAGACUUGAGUGCAGAAGAGGAGAGUGGAAUUCCAUGUGUAGCGGUGAAAUGCGUAGAUAUAUGGAGGAACACCAGUGGCGAAGGCGGCUCUCUGGUCUGUAACUGACGCUGAGGCUCGAAAGCGUGGGGAGCGAACAGGAUUAGAUACCCU
rnacentral:rRNA from 1 species